ensembl:lncRNA
UGGCUUCAAGCUGCGCCAGGGAAGAUUCAGGCUGGACUUUAGGAAAUACUACUUGUCUGAAAGGGUGGUCCGGCACUGGAAUGGGCUGCCCAGGGAGGUGGUGGAGUCAUCGACCCUGGUGGUGUUCAACGAGCGUUUGGAUGUUGUGUUGAGGGACAUGGUUUAGCGGGAACCAUUGGUGAAGGGCGAACGGUUGGACUGGAUGAUCCUGUGGGUCUCUUCCAACCUUAGCGAUUCUAGGAUUCUAGGAAAGCUCGGAGAAGGCUGGAGAAAUCAAGGUUGCCUCUAAGGUGCUGCUUUCAAACAACAUGAGUUGUUGGGCAUGAGACGGGAAAGACAAGGUUCAGGUUCCAAAGGCUUCCAAUCCCCAUGGAUCUGGCUGUCUGCAAAGACAACAGCUGCCUGCUUUCCAGCAGGGGGAUGCUCACCCAGCAAAGCACUCACCCAGCACAUGCCUUUCCUACAGUCACAGCAUCAGCAAGGUUGGAAAAGACCUCCAAGAUCAUCCAGUCCAACCACUCACCUACCACCAAUAUUUCCUUCCCACUAAGACACGUCCCUCACUACAACAUCCAAUGUUCCUUGAACACCCACAGGGACAGUAGCU